GCCUACGCAAAUGCAAUCGAACUGUCAUGCGAUGGAACACACCUACGGUUAGGGGGAUGCUCCAACAGGUCAAGAGGUUAAUUGUUAUUGAGACAGAGGAAAUGUACAAGGCCCGCAAACAGAAGGAGGAAACGCACCGAGCUCUACGUCCUCCGCUGGUCAUAAGUCAUAAACCUCCCUCGCUUACUGAUGCUUUAUGAAGUCCACUGUGUUCUUAAGGAUAUUUAUUAUCUUCUUGCUACUAAAACUAUUUAAUGCCAUUGUUUAAGGCUUUCUUCUCCAAUGGACAAAGUUUUGUUUUGAA